GGAGAUGUCGCAUAGCGGUCUAGUGCGCUCGCUUGGAAAGCGAGUAUGGGGGCAACUCCAUCAAGAGUUCGAAUCUCUUCAUCUCCGCCA
rnacentral:tRNA from 1 species